GGCUCCAUGGUCAAGCGGUUAAGACACCGCCCUUUCACGGCGGUAACUCGGGUUCGAUUCCCGAUGGAGUCACCA
rnacentral:tRNA from 1 species